rnacentral:rRNA from 1 species
UCCUCCUAAAGAGUAACGGAGGAGCACGAAGGUUGGCUAAUCCUGGUCGGACAUCAGGAGGUUAGUGCAAUGGCAUAAGCCAGCUUGACUGCGAGCGUGACGGCGCGAGCAGGUGCGAAAGCAGGUCAUAGUGAUCCGGUGGUUCUGAAUGGAAGGGCCAUCGCUCAACGGAUAAAAGGUACUCCGGGGAUAACAGGCUGAUACCGCCCAAGAGUUCAUAUCGACGGCGGUGUUUGGCACCUCGAUGUCGGCUCAUCACAUCCUGGGGCUGAAGUAGGUCCCAAGGGUAUGGCUGUUCGCCAUUUAAAGUGGUACGCGAGCUGGGUUUAGAACGUCGUGAGACAGUUCGGUCCCUAUCUGCCGUGGGCGCUGGAGAACUGAGGGGGGCUGCUCCUAGUACGAGAGGACCGGAGUGGACGCAUCACUGGUGUUCGGGUUGUCAUGCCAAUGGCACUGCCCGGUAGCUAAAUGCGGAAGAGAUAAGUGCUGAAAGCAUCUAAGCACGAAACUUGCCCCGAGAUGAGUUCUCCCUGACCCUUUAAGGGUCCUGAAGGAACGUUGAAGACGACGACGUUGAUAGGCCGGGUGUGUAAGCGCAGCGAUGCGUUGAGCUAACCGGUACUAAUGAACCGUGAGGCUUAACCUUACAACGCCGAAGGUGUUU